rnacentral:misc_RNA from 1 species
UUUGGUUUGUCACGUGUGGUUGGCUGCGGCGUUUGCAACAACUUCCAUGCUUUCAGACCUCUUCAGUUGUGCGGCAAGGCUUGUAUCGCCUUGUCGUAUUGUGGGUUUUCUGUGUUGUAUACCUAAUCAAUGGUAUCGGUUGGAUUGAUCAAUGUUUCAUUUCGUCUGUNGUCGCAUUUGCGGCGUGAGACGAACCUCGAUGCGGUCUCUUUGGCCCACCUCGUCGAAGCACAUGCUUAGACGUUGUGGCACAUUGAACAUUGCUUGGUCUCUUGUAUACGGAACAUAUAGUGGGCAUGGAUCUAACGAUUCUUGUUUGCCCUCAUGUUAGCGUAACGCUUCUCUUACACGACUUGCUCCACGUUUUAG